GGAGCAGCCCGGGUGAACGCCGGCCAUCGCAGGACGGGGUGGCGGGAGGAAAGUCCGGGCACCGCAGGGCAGGGUGCUGGCUAACGGCCAGUCGGCGUGAGCCGCAGGAAAGUGCCACAGAGAACAGACCUCCUGUCCGCGAGGGCAGGGAAGGGUGAAACGGUGCGGUAAGAGCGCACCGCGCGGCUGGCGACAGUCGCGGCACGGCAAACCCCACCCGGUGCAAGAGCCAAUAGGGGAGCGUCUUCAGGCGACUGAAGACACGGGCGGCCCGUCCGAUGCUCCCGGGUUGCUCGCUGAGGAGGGCGUCGGCAACGGCGCCCCUGGAUGAAUGUUCGCCACCCGGGGAAACCCGGGAACAGAACCCGGCUUACAGGGCUGCUCCAGCG
rnacentral:RNase_P_RNA from 1 species